rnacentral:rRNA from 1 species
UACGAAGGGGGCUAGCGUUGCUCGGAAUCACUGGGCGUAAAGGGUGCGUAGGCGGGUCUUUAAGUCAGGGGUGAAAUCCUGGAGCUCAACUCCAGAACUGCCUUUGAUACUGAAGAUCUUGAGUUCGGGAGAGGUGAGUGGAACUGCGAGUGUAGAGGUGAAAUUCGUAGAUAUUCGCAAGAACACCAGUGGCGAAGGCGGCUCACUGGCCCGGUACUGACGCUGAGGCACGAAAGCGUGGGAGCAAGCAGG